rnacentral:rRNA from 1 species
UUCCGAAAGGGAUGCUAAUACCGAAUGUGCUCACACCUCCGCAUGGAGGUGUGAGGAAAGAUGGCCUCUACUUGUAAGCUAUCGCCAGAAGAUGGGCCUGCGUCUGAUUAGCUAGUAGGUGGGGUAACGGCUCACCUAGGCGAUGAUCAGUAGCCGGUCUGAGAGGAUGAACGGCCACAUUGGGACUGAGACACGGCCCAAACUCCUACGGGAGGCAGCAGUGGGGAAUCUUCCGCAAUGGACGAAAGUCUGACGGAGCAACGCCGCGUGAGUGAUGAAGGUCUUCGGAUUGUAAAACUCUGUUGUCAGGGACGAAUGUACUGAUUUACAAUACACUUCGGUAUUGACGGUACCUGACGAGGAAGCCACGGCUAACUACGUGCCAGCAGCCGCGGUAAUACGUAGGUGGCAAGCGUUGUCCGGAAUUAUUGGGCGUAAAGAGCAUGUAGGCGGGCUUUUAAGUCCGACGUGAAAAUGCGGGGCUUAACCCCGUAUGGCGUUGGAUACUGGGAGUCUUGAGUGCAGGAGAGGAAAGGGGAAUUCCCAGUGUAGCGGUGAAAUGCGUAGAUAUUGGGAGGAACACCAGUGGCGAAGGCGCCUUUCUGGACUGUGUCUGACGCUGAGAUGCGAAAGCCAGGGUAGCAAACGGGAUUAGAUACCCCGGUAGUCCUGGCCGUAAACGAUGGGUACUAGGUGUAGGAGGUAUCGACCCCUUCUGUGCCGGAGUUAACGCAAUAAGUACCCCGCCUGGGGAC